rnacentral:rRNA from 1 species
CCUACGGGUGACAGCAGUAGGGAAUAUUGCUCAAUGGGGGAAACCCUUACGCAGCAACGCCGCGUGGAGGACGAAGGUUUUCGGAUUGUAAACUCCUUUUGUUAGAGAAGAUAAUGACGGUAUCUAACGAAUAAGCACCCGCUAACUCCGUGCCAGCAGCCGCGGUAAUACGGAGGGUGCAAGCGUUACUCGGAAUCACUGGGCGUAAAGAGCGCGUAGGCGGGAAAUCAAGUCAGAUGUGAAAUCCUAUGGCUUAACCAGAGAACUGCAUUUGAAACUGUUAUUCUAGAGUAUGGGAGAGGUAGGUGGAAUUCCUGGUGUAGGGGUAGAAUCCGUAGAGAUCAAGAGGAAUAC